GACGAACGCUGGCGGCGUGCCUAAUACAUGCAAGUCGAACGCAGUUGCGAACGGGUGAGUAACGUGUAGGUAACUGCCUCAUAGCGGGGGAUAAAUAUCGGAAACGAUAGCUAAUACCGCAUACUGUGAGAUGGACCUGCGUUGUAUUAGCUAGUUGGUGAGGUGAAGGCUCACCAAGGCGACGAUACAUAGCCGACCUGGGCGGGUGAUCGGCCAAACUGGGACUGGGACAAGGCCCAGACUCCUACGGGAGGCAGCAGUAGGGAAACUUCGGCAAUGGACGGAAAUCUGACCGAGCAACGCCGCGGGGGUGAAGAAGGUUUUCGGAGCGUAAAGCUCUUUUAUUAGAGAAGCGGUAACUUACCAGGAAGGGCCGGCUAACUACGUGCCAGCAGCCGCGGUAAUUC
rnacentral:rRNA from 1 species